UCAGGCGGCGCUGCGCCGCCAGGCAUGCCGGGACUUGUAGUCCGUCUAUAAGAGGCUGUCGCUUGCGCGGCAGCUGACCAGCGACCCGUCGCGAUGUUCGAGCGAGCGGCAACCGGAAGAAGCAUGGUACCAGGUUUAACUUUCCUGAACUGGCUAUGUGCAAGAAGGCUUCCUUCAGAGAUUUCAGACAUCCUCCAAGAAGCCAAGUUAUGGAAUCCACACACACACAAAAAUAGAGAUCUAGAACCAGACUACAGGAGUCUUCACUCUGGGCCAUACUUAAUACCAUCUCAGAUCUCCAGCUGUCAAACAGUAAGCUAAUGAUGUUAGUCCUUUAAUUGUAUAAGGUUAAUUAUAUGUUUUCAUUGCUUUUGAACUAUUCCUCAGUCUCUUCACUUGACCCAUAAAAUAGCAGGCUUGUAGAGAAUGUGACUUAAAGUUAAAUAGUGACAGUAUUUGAACUAAAACCUAGAUCUCAUGAUUCUUAGUGCUCUUUUUAUUUAGUAAGCAAGGUCACACAUCCUCAUGGGUAAUAUUUAACUUACAGAAAACAUGAUUCAGAUAGAGAUUAUAAUCUGCAUAAAAACUGAUAUUUUCUAUGUGUAUUGUACGUAGAUUUCUGUGGAAAUAGUACUGCUCUUUACCCAGUUGCUUAAAUUAAAACCCAAGAGUUAGCCUUGAUUCCUUCUUUUUCCUUACCUUCUUCAUUCAGUUCACUGUUGUCUUGUUAAUUCAAUGUCUAAAAUAGAUUGCAAAUACAACUUCUCUUGUCACUGCCACUAGCCUGGUCCAGGUUAUUGUCAUCAGCUUUGGGAUGCAACAUUUUCUCAUAUCCCUUUGUAACACUUGCCACAGUUUAAUUUUCUGUUGUAUACUUGUAAUUUUCUUAUUUUAUUUUAUUUUUUGAGAUAGAGCCUUACUCUGUUGCCCAGGCUG